rnacentral:tRNA from 1 species
UCCUUGAUGGUCCAGUGGUUAGGACUCUGUGCUUCCACUUCAGGGGGCAUGGGCCCGAUCCCUGGUUAAGGAA